rnacentral:sRNA from 1 species
ACAUGUUUACUUCUAUUCUUCUAGCAUUUUAACAGUUUGUAUCAGAGUUGACCUAUGUGACAAUAUAUUGAAUUUUGACUUAUGAUAAUGACUGAGAUUUUGAAAUGUGUAAAAUAAUGGUGAAAACAUGAAGUACAAUAUUUUUACUCAAUUUAUAGUUGAUCAUGAAAUGUAGAAAUAAUGUGUCCUUGGUGUCUUUAGCAGGUGUAUAUACUAGCUGUGAUAUCUGAGAUGAAUAUACCUGGUAUUAAUUAAUAUCUAUCAUGUCAUAGUAUGCAUAAAAUUGCAUUCAAAUUUUCUCAGAAAAAAUUAUUUUCAAAAAAAUAUUAUAAUUAGUGCAGAACAGAAAAUCAGUAAAUUACUGUGUAGUCUUCAUGUUAUUCAUAAUUAAUAAUGGACAUUUUUAAAGCUUUGAAUUGAAUCAUUCUUUAAAGUUUGACCCCAUACAAUAUUGUAUUUAGAUUUCAGCUUUUCCCUUGGCGUAUUUAGGGAAGCCAGCUACAACAUCUGGGUCAUUGCUACAUGCAGAGUUACAGUGAAAGUAGAUUUAUGUCAUUUGUAUGAAUUCAUUAAUUUUGGACAAUUUGCAUUUUUCCCUUUGCUGUGUCAGUAUGCAUAAUUUAGCCUUGCUUUAAGGAGUACAGUGAUAUGAAGUAUGUAACAUUUGUGGACUGUAGUUAUAUAGUUGUAGCUAGGGGAGGACCUAGUCAGAGACUGUGUGGGCGGUUGUUACUGGGGUCGGAUAUCCUGCAGUGGAGCCCUCGUUUGUUGAGGGGGUGGGGAAUUGAUGCAUUGAUCACCUGUUGUUUCUAUUACAAAGGCGUGACCUCACUGAGUGACCAGGUUCCGUUUGAUAUAGAUAACAUUGUAUAUAUACAAGUUACACUAUUUAUUAUUGUUGAAUUAGCUGACUAUCACUGCUGGUUAUGACCUACUUUAUCAAUAGCAAUAAAACUUUUUAUUG